CUGGCCCUAAAUCUAGAUGCCUGCAUACCCAUGCAUCCGCCCGAGAACUACGAGCACAAACGCUUAAAACUCUAAGGACUUGGCGGUGCCCCAAACCCAC
rnacentral:rRNA from 1 species